rnacentral:rRNA from 1 species
GACGAACGCUGGCGGCGUGCUUAACACAUGCAAGUCGAACGGAAAGGCCCUGCUUUUGUGGGGUGCUCGAGUGGCGAACGGGUGAGUAACACGUGAGUAACCUGCCCUUGACUUUGGGAUAACUUCAGGAAACUGGGGCAAAUACCGGAUAGGAGCUCCUGCUGCAGGGGGGGGGUGGGAAGGUUUCGGCGGUUGGGGAUGGACUCGCGGCUUAUCAGCUUGUUGGUGGGGUAGUGGCUUACCAAGGCUUUGACGGGUAGCCGGCCUGAGAGGGUGACCGGCCACAUUGGGACUGAGAUACGGCCCAGACUCCUACGGGAGGCAGCAGUGGGGAAUAUUGCACAAUGGGCGGAAGCCUGAUGCAGCAACGCCGCGUGCGGGAUGACGGCCUUCGGGUGGUAAACCGCUUUCGCCUGUGACGAAGCGUGAGUGACGGUAAUGGGUAAAGAAGCACCGGCUAACUACGU